rnacentral:lncRNA from 1 species
UCCAAUAUGAUCAAGUCUGAGUGCCACAUAUACUUUAGGUUCAUCAGAUUUGUGGAUCUCUCAGAUCUUACGGCAUUCACUACUUACUUAGAAACAUUCACAGAUACAUCUAUAUGCAAAUGAUAUACUUUCACGAGCAGAUCUGACACACCUUUCAAAUGUGUAUCCUUCUUAUUUUUCAGAAACUCCAGAUAUAUGAGAGUUUUUUUUUAAUGGCUGUCAAUAUUGCAGUGGACACACUUUUCCUUGUUACAACAUUUUUCUUAUGAACUUUCUUUUUUCGCUUGCUCUCUAUCUUUGCUUCUUCACGAGUUUCUUCUUUUUCUAAUUAAACUUUCUCUUGGUAGAAGUGGUCCACUCCACAAUGAGAGCCAUGCCUCUAGAACCCUUCAAGGCCCCUUCAGCAGUUAUCAAUAUGUUUAGCAGUUCGACCUUGGUGCAGUCAGUCUUAUUCAUAUGAUAGUUCACUAUAAACUGUCCAUACGAAUCAAAAAGAGAUUGUAGGAUCAAAUUCACUUAUAAUUCCUUAUACAUCUCAUGCCGAGCUUCUCAAGCUCCUCC